rnacentral:rRNA from 2 species
AGGCCGCAAGGUGCUGACGAGUGGCGAACGGGUGAGUAAUGCAUCGGAACGUGCCCAGUCGUGGGGGAUAACGCAGCGAAAGCUGUGCUAAUACCGCAUACGAUCUAUGGAUGAAAGCGGGGGACCGUAAGGCCUCGCGCGAUUGGAGCGGCCGAUGUCAGAUUAGGUAGUUGGUGGGGUAAAGGCUCACCAAGCCAACGAUCUGUAGCUGGUCUGAGAGGACGACCAGCCACACUGGGACUGAGACACGGCCCAGACUCC